UUAAUGGAGAGUUUGAUCCUGGCUCAGGACGAACGCUGGCGGCAUGCCUAAUACAUGCAAGUCGAGCGGAUUAGAUGAGAAGCUUGCUUCUCUGAUAAUUAGCGGCGGACGGGUGAGUAACACGUAGGCAACCUGCCUUUCAGUCUGGGAUAACUUCCGGAAACGGAUGCUAAUACCGGAUACAUCAUUUCUCCGCAUGGAGAGAUGAGGAAAGACGGCGCAAGCUGUCACUGAGAGAUGGGCCUGCGGCGCAUUAGCUAGUUGGUGGGGUAACGGCUCACCAAGGCGACGAUGCGUAGCCGACCUGAGAGGGU
rnacentral:rRNA from 1 species